rnacentral:rRNA from 1 species
AUUCGGGUGGGAGGGGGGCCCCCCGCCCGGGGCGAAAACGGCCCCCCCCCCCCAACUUCAAAAGGGCGAGGGAAGGGGAGAACAGAACACAACGGGAAAGAACCCUCUUCCCCAGCGCGGCCGGGCCUCUCACGUAGGGAAGUUGGAUUUUUUCAUUUAGGUGGGCCGGGCUGGUGUGCCGGAAGGAUUGCAGGGAAGUAAGCUACAUGCAGUCGGGGCUCGGGGGUUGGUUAAGCAGGCCCCCCGAAUAUUACACCAGCACCCGUCUGGGGGGGAAAAUUGGGUGAAGGCGGGCGCGCAUACCCCCCUGCCCGCCGAAUUUUAGACAUUCCAAUAGACAGAGGAAAAGAAACUAGCAAGGAUGAAGCUCGUUUCGCCGAGUGAAGCGGGAAGAGCUCAUAUUUAAGGUCUGGUUAGCUAGCUUCUCCGAGUUGUAGUCUGAAGAAACGUUUUCGAUGAAACUCUGAGCACAAGUGAUUUGGAACAGGGCAUGAUAGAGGGUGAGAAUCCCGUCCAUGGUCUCAGAGUUUUCCAUUAUGUGAUACGUUUUGUAAGAGUCGAGUUGUCUGGGAAUGCAGCUCAAAAUGGGUGGUAAAUCUCAUCUAAAGCUAAAUAUUGGCGAGAGACCGAUAGCGAACAAGUACCGUGAGGGAAAGAUGAAAAGAACUUUGAAAAGAGAGUUAAACAGUACGUGAAAUUGUUGAAAGGGAAACGUUUGAAAUCAGUCAUUUCUUCUGGAAAUCAGCCUUGCUUUUGCAUGGUGUAUUUUCCAGUGGAAAGGUUAACGUCAAUUUUGGUUGUCGGAUAAAAGCCUUUGGAAUGUGGCUCUCUUCGGGGAGUGUUAUAGCCAAGGUCAAUACGAUGACUGGGAAUGAGGAUUCGCCGCCAAUGCUCUCUGGGCAGUGGCAUCAUGCGCUCAGGUUAACACUAUGCUAGACAGCUUGCAGACUAGUAGUUUGAAGAUUUCACUCGUGUGUGUUCCCACUGCAUCCGCGUAGGUCGCUAACUCAAUGGUUUAUAAACGUCCCGUCGUGAAGCACGG